ACCAAAGACUACUACUCUUCCACGAUUACAAUUGCACAAUUGCUUAAAUGCAUAGAUAAUUUAAUGGAAAAAGAGGUGCAAACAUGAUUCGUAUCAGUUGACCUAUUGAGGUGAUGGCAUUGAUGUAACUUUGUUGGUGUGCUAUAUAAAACUUGCCCCUCACAUUCACUGGUUUUGCGAUGCAGUCGCUUACUUUGAUUUUCCUCUUCUUGGGGGGAGUCGUGUGCAAUGUAAAAUGUGAGAAGAAAGGCGUUACACUGCAAGCCAGUUUAGACGAUUUACUUGAAAACAAAUGUAAGAAAGCUGGUAUUGAUGAUCACGUUACAGGUUUUUACGAAACUUUGUUGCCAACCUUAGAAUGUUUGGAUAAGCAGAAUGUGUCAAAAACUUCUGCUAUGGACCCCACUCUCACUGACGUGUUUUGUCAGGGUUUAAACAAAAAUGUUCGUGAAUGCUUCAAGACUGUAAUAGAUAAUGUGGAAAAGUGUCUGGAUGACGACGAAAAAUAUUUACCGAACUUGAUAUUUGAAGCGAUUGACAACUUUUUGGACCUGAUAUGCGAAGAAAAAUUCAUAGAAUCAUUAAACGAACUAAGCUUUAAGCAGUGCAAGAAGAAUAUUUCCAAAAAUAAUGCUCUAGAUGUCUGCUUUGAAAACUUUAUAAUGAAAUUGCUGAUUUCUGGAGACGUGGUUGUUUUUAAAAAAGCUGAGUUGUGCAGCGGGAUACAAGAUUUUUACGACUGCUAUGAGGGUGUCAUAAAAGUGAUUUGUCCCAAUGAUGACAAAAUAAUGUUAACUCUUUUAAACAAAUUUCAUAAGGCCAUUUUUUCCGCAUGCCAUAAAGAAGAAAAGUCCCAUGAGUGAAUUUGGUUCGUUUACAACUUUUGUGAGAUGACUGUAAAGCAACAAGUUUUUGUUUUCAAUCCAUAGUUUCUUUUAUUUCGUUUUUAUAUUUCCAUUUUUAACGUGACAAUUUAUUAUUUCGUCAUAUCAUUCAAGUAGGUACCACAUACAUUACGAAUAUUAAUAAAGCACCAAAAAAUAAAGGUGUGGAAUUGAUCCGACUUCUACAUACACAACAAUCUUCAAAAAUUUAACAUAAUCGAAAGAAAAUUGCAAAAGAGAUUCUUUAAUUAGCAUAGUUUUUGAGAAAAAAACCAAGCCCAUACAUCAUAAAGCAUUAACAUAAAACAGCUGACUUAAUGAAUAUAACAAAAGGAGACCAGACCAGACCGCGUUUGGAAAAAUUAGCGCGUUUUAACAUAUUUACUGCUAAAUUUAAAUCGAAACUUCAAACGACAGCGCAAGUACGAGAUACGUAAAUAAUUCUGCUAGAGCUGUGAAGAAAAAAACUUACUACCUAUCCUUCUGAAUCAGCUGAGGAAGCACAGCAAAUAACAUGUAAUUAAUUCUUCACACACAUUCACCACAAAAAUAAUUGAAUGGCAACUUGUCCAAUAUGACCAGGCUCAAAAUUAGAAAUCAGGAUGACCUUAUAUGACCAAAAUAGAUUGUUGGAUAUUUAUAUGCUUUAUUGGGUGGUGACACCUUAUCGAUUCCAUUAUCUUAACACCAUUGUAAAAAGGAAUUAAUUACCAAUUACUAAAUAUCGUAUAGUAUAUAGAAGUAUUACAUUAAUUAUAAUUACUUAUACCGAAUUGUUGAAAGCGACUCCAAAAUAUGCAAAACUUUUUGGAAGACAUACUUGUCUGUUCAAUACUGUUCAAAAAUAUUACGAUAAUAAGUGAAGAAGAAAGAUAAAUCACCAUUUAAAAUUGUGAAAAUUUUUUGACAUGUAUCCCUUCCGUAUAGGCAACUUAUCAUGCAUAGCCAUAGCUAUAGAACAGUAAGAAAUGUUUUUAUGACUUUCCAAACUACUAUGUGGAGUGACCUCACAAAAUCUGUAUAUAACCAAAGAGAUAUAACCAAAGAGAUAUAACCAAAGAGAUUAUGGUUAUUCUUUGAUAUAACUAAUAAACAGUAAUCAACCCAACGACUGUAUAUUUUUCCACAUUUUUUUAAUUUCCAACUUAGUCAUCCGUAUAGGAGUAGGUAGGUCAGUAAUAUAAAAAAAAACAUCUCGUCAUUGUGUCGAAAUGCGUUACGCAGUUUACGUAAAAGUCGAAUUCGCAUUUACAAUCAGAAGCAGUGAUUGAAAAUUUUUUUGACUAAAAAUAACUUGUUUACUAAAUUUGGUCCCAGUAGACUUUCGAGAAACAGACAAAUAUAGUUCGUAUCACAGGUCAUGUCGAGUGAAUAGAUUACAUUGUCUAUGUAUAUAAGCUCUUGCACCCAAAAUGACAGUUUAUCACAGUUUAAAAUGAAAUUGGUUACUUUGGCCAUCUUCAUACUUCUAGGCAAGGAAAAUGAUUACAGUCUUCACAUUUUACUCAAAAUGAUACAGGAAUAGUUAACGUAAAGGGUGACGAAGGUACAACUACCAUUUGGGAGGAUCUAGUCGAAAAUAAAUGUAAAAGGGCCGGUAUUAUCGACCCUAUUAAGGGAUUUUACGGGACCCUAUUCUCAACUUUUGAAUGUUUGGAGGUUCAAAAUAUGACAGCACACUAUACUGAAGUUGGUCCCACUGAAGCGGUGUGUGAAAGUUUCCCUAAAAAUGUUCGCAGAUGCCUUAAAGUCGUAGUAAACAACGUAGAAAAGUGCUUGGAGGCUGAAGAAAAAUAUUUACCUAAGUUUAUAUUUCAAGCGUUUGAUAAUUUUGUUGACUUAGUCUGUGUAGACAAAUUUGUAGAAUCAUUGGAUAAACCAAGCUUCGCUCAGUGCAUAAAUGAUAUUUCCCAAAGUAAGUUUAUGGAAACUUGUACUGAAAAUCGUUUAUUUAAAUCAGUGCUAGAAAAGAAAACUGUUUUCCCUCAGAAAUCUGAAUUGUGCAGUGACCUAAAAGAGCUUCACGACUGCUAUGAAAAUGUUAUGAAGCAGACAUGCACCGGAGACACAGUUGCUAAAACUCUUCUAAACAAAUUAUACAAAGCUAUUUCGCCUUCGUGCAAUAAAGAAGAAGAAACCUCAGCUUGAACAAUUGCUUCAAACUUAUGUUAUAUCUGUAAUUGUACAAUGGCAAAUAAAAAAAACAAAUUCA